UUGUUGCUGGUUCUCUAGGGAGCAUGUGCACACUUGUCAUCUUUGUAUCUUCACCUGUGCACAUUUUGUAGACCUGAGUAUCUCUCUGAAUGCUUUAUGGCACUCAGGAUUGAGAGUUGACUUUUUGUCUCUUCUUAUAUUCUCAGGUCUAUGUUUUUCAUAUACCCCAAUGUAUGUUUAUAGAAUGUAAUUAAUAGGCCUUUGUGCCUAUAAACCUUUACAACUUUCAGCAACGGAUCUCUUGGCUCUCGCAUCGAUGAAGAACGCAGCGAAAUGCGAUAAGUAAUGUGAAUUGCAGAAUUCAGUGAAUCAUCGAAUCUUUGAACGCACCUUGCGCUCCUUGGUAUUCCGAGGAGCAUGCCUGUUUGAGUGUCAUUAAUAAUAUCAACCUCUUUGGUUGGAUGUGGGUUUGCUGGCCUUUUUGAGGUCAGCUCCCCUUAAAUGCAUUAGCGGACAACAUUUUGCCAACUGUUCUUUGGUGUGAUAAUUAUCUACGCCAUUGAUGUGAAGCAAAGGUUCGGCUUCUAACAGUCCAUUGACUUGGACAAACUCUUUUCUUAUUAAUGUGACCUCAAAUCAGGUAGGACUACCCGCUGAACUUAAGCAUAUCAAUAAGCGGAGGAAAAGAAACUAACAAGGAUUCCCCUAGUAACUGCGAGUGAAGCGGGAAAAGCUCAAAUUUAAAAUCUGAUAGUCUUUGGCUGUCCGAGUUGUAAUCUAGAGAAGCAUUAUCCGCGCUGGACCGUGUACAAGUCUCCUGGAAUGGAGCGUCAUAGAGGGUGAGAAUCCCGUCUUUGACACGGACUGCCAGGGCUUUGUGAUGUGCUCUCAAAGAGUCGAGUUGUUUGGGAAUGCAGCUCAAAAUGGGUGGUAAAUUCCAUCUAAAGCUAAAUAUUGGCGAGAGACCGAUAGCGAACAAGUACCGUGAGGGAAAGAUGAAAAGAACUUUGGAAAGAGAGUUAAACAGUACGUGAAAUUGCUGAAAGGGAAACGCUUGAAGUCAGUCGCGUUGUCCAGGGAUCAAUCUUGCUUUUGCUUGGUGUACUUUCUGGUUAACGGGUCAGCAUCAAUUUUGACUAUUGGAAAAAGAUUAAGGGAAUGUGGCAUCCUUGGAUGUGUUAUAGCCCUUGGUUGCAUACAAUAGUUAGGAUUGAGGAACUCAG
rnacentral:rRNA from 1 species